AUUGAACGCUGGCGGCAGGCCUAACACAUGCAAGUCGAGCGGAUGAAGGGAGCUUGCUCCUGGAGUCAGCGGCGGACGGGUGAGUAAUGCCUAGGAAUCUGCCUGGUAGUGGGGGAUAACGUCCGGAAACGGGCGCUAAUACCGCAUACUUCCUGAUGGAGAAAGUGGGGGAUCUUCGGACCUCACGCUAUCAGAUGAGCCUAGGUCGGAUUAGCUAGCUGGUGGGGUAAAGGCCUACCAAGGCGACGAUCCGUAACUGGUCUGAGAGGAUGAUCAGUCACACUGGAACUGAGACACGGUCCAGACUCCUACGGGAGGCAGCAGUGGGGAAUAUUGGACAAUGGGCGAAAGCCUGAUCCAGCCAUGCCGCGUGUGUGAAGAAGGUCUUCGGAUUGUAAAGCACUUUAAGUUGGGAGGAAGGGCAGUAAGUUAAUACCUUGCUGUUUUGACGUUACCAACAGAAUAAGCACCGGCUAACUUCGUG
rnacentral:rRNA from 1 species